GGAUGAAAGCAAAAAUUGUUGAGCCAUACAAUAAAAUAGUAGCCCGUACUGCACAACUAGCAAGACUUCAGGUUGCCUGUGAUUUGCUUCGGAGAAUUAUUCGCAUUUUAUAUCUCUGUAAGAGACUCCAAGGACAACUGCAAGGAAGAAGUAGAGAGAUAACAAAAGCUGCUCAGAGUCUCAAUGAACUUGAUUAUCUUUCUCAAGGAAUAGAUCUUUCCGGAAUAGAAGUAAUAGAAAAUGAUCUGCUUUUUAUUGCAAGAGCUCGACUUGAAGUGGAAAAUCAAGCUAAGCGUCUAUUGGAGCAAGGUGUAGAGACUCAGAAUCCUACUCAAGUUGGAACAGCUCUUCAGAUUUUCCAUAAUCUUGGAAUUUUGAAGGAUACUAUUAUCGGUGUUGUGGAUGGAUAUCGUACUACUUUAAAGGAAAAUAUCAACAGUGCAUGAGACAUCAAAGUUUUGACUCAGCCUUCUCAGUCAGCUGUGAGAGGGGGUCCUGGAGAUCUACCAUGCCAACCCCAGGAAAUACUGCAGCAUUUCGUGCUUCCCUCUGGACCAAUAUGGAGAAAUUAAUGGAUCUUAUUUGUUCUGUUUGUGGACAGGUACAACACCUACAAAAAGUAUUGGUGAAAAAGAGAGAUCCUGUCUCUCACAUUUGUUUCAUUGAAGAAAUAAUUAAGGACGGACAACCUGAAAUUUUCUACACAUUUUGGAAUUCAGUUACUCAGGCACUUUCUUCUCAAUUUCGUACAGCAACAGAGUCUUCGAUGUUUUUGAAACAGGCAUUUGAAGGAGAAUACCCCAAACUGUUGCGUCUUUGUAAUGACUUAUGGAAGCGUCUUCAACAAUACAGUCAAAAUAUCCAAGGGAAUUUUAGUGCAAGUGGAACUACAGACCUCUUUGUUGACCUACAACACAUGGAAGAUGAUACACAAGAUAUAUUCAUACCAAAAAAACCAGAUUAUGAUCCAGAAAAGGCUUUGAAAGACUCACUGCAACCCUAUGAGGCUGCUUACCUGUCAAAAUCUUUAUCGCAACUCUUUGAUCCUAUCAACUUGGUUUUUCCCCCUGGUGGUCGUAAUCCUCCUUCCUCUGAUGAACUUGAUGGUAUCAUUAAAACUAUAGCAAGUGAACUAAAUGUAGCUGCCGUUGAUGCAAACCUCACAUUAGCUGUGUCAAAAAAUGUGGCAAAGACCAUUCAGUUAUAUGGUGUAAAAUCAGAGCAGCUUCUUUCCACACAAGGAGAUGCAAGUCAGGUGAUUGGGCCUCUUACUGAAGGACAGAGAAGAAAUGUGGCUAUAGUGAAUUCACUGUAUAAGUUGCACCAAUCAGUAACAAAGGUAGUUUCCAGUCAGAGCUCGUUCCCACCAGCAGCUGAGCAAACUAUAAUUUCAGCCCUAAAGGUGAUCCAUGCUCUUAUGGGAAAUGCUGUGCAGCCCGUACUGACUUCAGUGGGAGACGCUAUAGAGGCCAUAAUCAUCACCAUGCAUCAAGAAGAUUUUUCUGGGUCAUCAUCCAGCUCAGGAAAGCUCGAUGUUCCUUGUUCUCUGUACAUGAAGGAGCUACAAGGUUUCAUUGCCAGAGUUAUGAGUGACUACUUUAAACACUUUGAAUGCUUAGAUUUUGUCUUUGAUAACACUGAAGCUAUUGCCCAAAGAGCAAUUGAACUUUUUAUCCGCCAUGCCAGUCUCAUAAGACCUCUUGGUGAAGGUGGGGAGAUGCGACUUGCCUCUGAUUUUGCACAGAUGGAGUUGGCUGUGGGUCCGUUCUGCAGACGAGUUUCCAACUUGGGAAAGUCCGAUCGAAUGCUGAGGUCGUUCAGACCACUGCUCUUCCAGACAAGUGAAAAUGUGGCCAAUAGCCCUACACUGGGGGACAUCAUUCCAUUCAGCGUCAUUAUUCAGUUUCUGUUCUCGAGAGCACCUGCUGAGAUGAAAUCCCCUCUCCAGAAGGCCGAGUGGUCCCACGCAAUUAUUUUCUAUAAAUCUAACCUGCUUAUUUUGAUAGCACCUAACCUUAAUAAAGCCAAAUUAUACCCACCCACAUAUUCUAAGCAAAAAGGCAUUUAUGCCUCCACUUUGCAGAUUAGUUACUCCUAUGGUUGA